rnacentral:rRNA from 1 species
GACGGGGGGGGCAAGUGUUCUUCGGAAUUACUGGGCGUAAAGGGCACGUAGGCGGUGAAUCGGGUUGAAAGUGAAAGUCGCCAAAAAGUGGCGGAAUGCUCUCGAAACCAAUUCACUUGAGUGAGACAGAGGAGAGUGGAAUUUCGUGUGUAGGGGUGAAAUCCGUAGAUCUACGAAGGAACGCCAAAAGCGAAGGCAGCUCUCUGGGUCCCUACCGACGCUGGGGUGCGAAAGCAUGUGGAGCGAACAGG